rnacentral:rRNA from 1 species
AUUGAACGCUAGCGGGAUGCUUUACACAUGCAAGUCGAACGGCAGCGCGGACUUCGGUCUGGCUGCGAGUGGCGAACGGGUGAGUAAUGUAUCGGAACGUGCCCAGUAGCGGGGGAUAACUACGCGAAAGCGUAGCUAAUACCGCAUACUCCCUACGGGGGAAAGCAGGGGAUCGUAAGACCUUGCACUAUUGGAGCGGCCGAUAUCGGAUUAGCUAGUUGGUGAGGUAACGGCUCACUAAGGCGACGAUCCGUAGCUGGUUUGAGAGGACGACCAGCCACACUGGGACUGAGACACGGCCCAGACUCCUACGGGAGGCAGCAGUGGGGAAUUUUGGACAAUGGGGGCAACCAUGAUCCAGCCAUCCCGCGUGUGAGAUGAAGGCCUUCGGGUUGUAAAGCACUUUUGGCAGGAAAGAAACGUCGCGGGCUAAUACCCCGUGGAACUGACGGUACCUGCAGAAUAAGCACCGGCUAACUACGUG